CGUCUUGUAACACGGACCAAGGAGUCUAACAUGCGUGCAAGUAGUAGGGUUUAAACCACACUGCGCAACGAAAGUGAGCCUUGCCAAACUAGCAGCAAGGGCCGCGUCAGCGAGCUCAGCACAUAUGUUGGGACCCGAAAGAUGGUGAACUAUGCUUGGGAAAGGCGAAGCCAGGGGAAACUCUGGUGGAGGCUUGUAGAGAUUCUGACGUGCAAAUCGUUCUUCUAACCUGAGUAUAGGGGCGAAAGACUAAUCGAACCAUCUAGUAGCUGGUUCC
rnacentral:rRNA from 16 species